GCUGGAAUUGUAUGAUUGUGAAGACAUCGCGAACCUUAAAGGUUGAGAAGUGAACGGAUUAUACGGCGAACUGAGAUGACGUGAAAAAGGGGAUUGGAAGCGGCAUUGAUGUGAGUACUAAGAACCAGUCGAAAGUGCCCUGUAUAUUGACCUGGCGUUGUGUAGAUCUCUCCAGGAGGAGGAGGGCGGCCCUACCCCUAAUAUAGCGUGGUGGGAGAGCCGAAGGAAUACUUAUUGAAGUAGUCACAACGACGACAUCACUAGCUAGGCCGCAUAUUCCAUCGCCAGAUCCGAACCAAGCGAAGUGAAGGAAGACGGGUGUCCUUUUCGUACACUGAGUGUGGUGGGUGAGUCUUCGUGCUGUGAAAACCUAUAAUUUUGACGUGGUGUUGUAUAUUGCUGUGGGCUGCUGUGUAUUGUCGUGUGUCCUGUCAGAUAAACCCCCGCCUUCAUGCACUUCGUCGCGGGAGGACAAGGAGACUGCUGGUCCUAGCCUAGUUCAGUACAGUAUAUGUUGUGAGCGUGCUUCAGAUCUCCGGAGAUAGCACGGUACGCUGUGUCCAGCCCAGAGGUGAAAGCCAUCCAAAGCAGAGUAACUGUGCUUUGUGUCCAAGUUGAUACCUGUGGAGAGGAAAGGAAAGAGAGAGUGAGUAACACAAGGAGAACCAGAGGGAACCUGUACUUACAGUACGCUGUGUUCAGCCCAGAGUUGAUACCUGUGGAGAGAAAAGGAGAGAGAGUGGGUAACACGAGGAGAGACCGAGGAAACCUGUACUUACGCCGCUGCCUGUGGAGAAAGAGAAAGCGAGUGAGCACCCAAGGAACGAACUGUGUGAACCAGUACUUACUGUGAGCUGCAAUCAGCGAAGAGGUGAGAGCAAAACCAAGCCGAAUUAACUGUGCUUUUGUGUCCCAGCCGUUGCCUGUGGAGGAAGAGAAAGAGAGUGAGCACCUCGAGAACGAACUGUGUGAACCAGUACUUGCCGUGAGCUGUAUUCAGCGAAGAGGAGGAAGAAGGAGGGCGCUACGGAUACCUAAGACUCAGGCCGGGGCCCGAGUCCCACGCCCCGGAUCCCCGUGGCCCCCUUGCUCCCUGACCUCUUCCCGGCCAUAGCCCAUCUGGAGGGCCGAGUCAGAGUUUAGUUUUUAAUUGCCCUUUCCCUAUUCCCCAAGCUAUUUUUAAAUAUUUAAAUAAAGAUUGUUUUAUCACUUACUUGUUCUCGUGUUGUUUGGCCAUUGGGUUGGCUUUGGGGACCUCCUCGAGGUGGAAGUUGAGAAGGGGGUGUGGCUUAGUCAAAGCAUAGCCAGCCCCUGGGUGUGACAGAUUUGGCGUAGUCGGCAGGGUUUCCACCUCGAGU
ensembl:lncRNA